AGCGAACGCUGGCGGCAGGCUUAACACAUGCAAGUCGAGCGGGCACUUCGGUGUCAGCGGCAGACGGGUGAGUAACACGUGGGAACGUACCCUUCGGUUCGGAAUAACGCUGGGAAACUAGCGCUAAUACCGGAUACGCCCUUUUGGGGAAAGGUUUACUGCCGAAGGAUCGGCCCGCGUCUGAUUAGCUAGUUGGUGGGGUAAUGGCCUACCAAGGCGACGAUCAGUAGCUGGUCUGAGAGGAUGAUCAGCCACACUGGGACUAAGACACGGCCCAGACUCCUACGGGAGGCAGCAGUGGGGAAUAUUGGACAAUGGGCGCAAGCCUGAUCCAGCCAUGCCGCGUGAGUGAUGAAGGCCUUAGGGUUGUAAAGCUCUUUUGUCCGGGACGAUAAUGACGGUACCGGAAGAAUAAGCCCCGGCUAACUUCGUG
rnacentral:rRNA from 1 species